AUAGUAGGUGCUGAUACUUUAAUAAAUUAUUCAAAAUCAUUUAAUCUUUCUCAAAUCUUUUCUUAAAUCAAUUUCAAUUUCGUAAAUCAAUUCUCAAAUCAAUUUCUCAAAAUAUCAUAAACUCAUUUAAUUCAAAUUGAAUAACUGCAAUAAUAAAUCUGCAUAAAAUCGAUGGAAUCACCAUACUCAUAUUAAAUACUGAAUACUAAAAACUGUCAUCAAACAAGUACCCAGGGGAUAAUCUGAUCAUAUCCGGGCUACAACGGCCAGGCAAUAACGCACUAUCUGGGUAACGUCACGCCCCGGAGCCACAACGGAUAGAUGGGGACGAUCUCAUCUCAUAUCUCAUAUCUCUUAUCUCAUAUAUCUGUACUGUGCAUGCAUAAGCCCCCAAAAGGCAAAAGCGCCCGAACACACGGCCCAAAGCCUCUAUGUGUGUCCCGACGGGCCCCAAAGGCCUCUAUCUCAUCUUAUCUGUAUCUCUUAUCUGUAUCUCUUUUUAUCUGUAUCUCUGUAUCUGGAGGGAAGGGUACUGUCUAAUGAUUUCAAAACUGAUAGUAAACAUAUGAUCCCAUCUGAAAUCUCAUUUUCUUUCUAUUCAACAUAUCUCAAGUCUGCUCAAUUCUAAUAUCAUGCUUUUACUCAAAAACGCUAAUAAAAUCAUAAAUCGAACUCAUUCUCAAUCAUAAUAAAUAUCAACACAUAAAUAAAAGUCAAUUCGCUGGAAAAUCAUUAAAUCAACGCAUUAAACAUUUAUUUCUCAAACAUACUGUACUAUAUAAGAAAAUCAGCAUAUACUAUGAAAAUAGGUUUUGUAUAUUCCACUCACAGUGAUGAUGUCUAGACUCAGUAUCAACAACGUCCGCGGGUAGAUUCUCGUUCGCGGAUGCGGAUCCUCCUAAUCACGGAAAACACCAUAAUUAUUCUCCGUAAAAACCAAUUAAUAUAAUAAAUCUCGAAACAAAUAUCUAUUAACGAUAAACUAGUCCCGCAUGUAUAAAAUUACCAAAAUGCCCCUAUAGGCCAAAAUUACCAAAAUACCCCAACAUCAAUAUUUUACCAACUUAUCCUCAAACUUCAUGAUUUUACCAAAUUAUCCUCAUAUUCGUUAAUACCCAUAUUGUCCUCAAUUCAGAUUACAUAAAUUAAUCACAUUGUCGGAAAUUACAAAAUUACCCUCAGGGCAUAAAAUUACCGAAAUGUCCACUGAUUACAUAAAAUUACAAAUUCACCCCAAAGUUUCAUGAAUUUACCGAAUUGCCCCUGCCGGUCAACGGUGACCGGACUUCAGUCAACGAUGACGGGGAGCUUAGGUCUGCUAGUUCCGGCCUCGAUGAAUCCAACGGUGGUGGCAGUGAGUCGCCACGCGCGCUACCGGCGGCGGAUCGAAGUUCCAAAGUUCCGCAAAUUUUCGGAGAUCAUUCGGCGAGUUCCGGGCGUCCCCGGCGGUCGUUGCUGGUCGGGAAAUGUUGCUGGGGAUGUGAGGAACCAGUUCCAAGUGGUGGCGCGUCACAACUCCGGCGGGAUCAACGGCAACGAAAACGGGUCGAAGCCGCGACUUUUCGAGCUCGAUCACCGGCGUUCUGGCCAGUUUCCGGCGACGAUAACAGCAGGGAUACGAUGGUCUGCUUCCAAGCUUCAGAUCGGUACCAAGCACGGCCGGUAAAGUGGCUGGAGUUGGGAGAAAUCGUCGGGUCAAUCCGCGGGUUACUGGGUCGGGUUCUCGGGUCAACGGGUCUGACUUCUCUCUCUAUCUUUCUCUCUCUUCUCGGGUUCUUUCUCUCUAAAAUGGAAAACCCGUUUCCCUCUUUCCAGUUAUACAAUUCUGCCCCUCUUUUUUUUUUUUUUUUUUUUUUUUUAAGCUUAAUACAAAUUAAGCGAAUUUCAGACCCGUUACGAAAAUAAAAUCCGACCAUCGGCGCGUAUAAUCGAGCUCAAUUUAUCCCAAUUAAACUAUAGUGACGAAAUUAAAAAUUAAUAGAGAAGAGGAAAAUAAAAAUCAGCACUUUAUUAAGAAAGUCCAAGUGCGUAUAUUACAAUAAUAUCAUAUGAAACAGAAAUCAAUGAUUGCCUUCUAUCUAUAAUGUUCUUCAAUUACAAAUGAACAACAUUAAUUCAUUAAUCUUGCAUUUAGUCAUAAUCAAAUGGGAAUUAGAUUGAUGGGUGGGGCACACUUGAGCUAUUUGAAUUUCUUCUGCACUAUUUCAUUUAAAAACAUGUAUUUAUAAGCAAUAUUUUAAAAUUUUAAAAUCUUAAAAUUAACUCAAUUAUGUCAUUCUCUAAUUUACGGUUGCAUUUUCUCCCUCAAAAUUGUCAGAUCCUACAAACUAAAUUUUCACUUUCACUCAAUGUUGGACAUUGAUUCUUAAUCUUUUUUAGUAAAUCAUAAUUACAUCUUCAGUUUGUUCCAAGGUUUUUAGUAAAUCUAAUUAUAUAUUACUUUUUCAUUUCAAAGAUAUCGAAGUAAAAAAAAUAAAAAAAAGAUAUCAAGGCAAAAAUAUUUUUUUAUGGUAAAAACACUUGAAACUUUCAAUUUGUGAUGGCCUAUGUAGAAUAUGUGGAUCUGGAUUUGCCCAUUUAUGAGAGACAAGCAUUAACAUUCGCUUGUAGGGGUGGCAAAACGAAAAAUCGAAUCGAAUCGAAUUUUAAACGAAUUGGGUCAAAAUUUUGUGGAUUCGGAUUUGAUUUGUUUAUUAAACGAAUUAAAAUCUCAGGAUUCAAAUUAGAUUCGUUUAUUAAACGAUUAUUUAGUUUAAUUCGUUUAAUAGAUUAAUAAAAGAAUUGAAUCAAAUUCAAAUUCAUUUAUUAUUAAUUUAUCCUAAUAAUAAAUGAAUCCAUAACUAAUCGAAUUGAAUAUGAAUUCGUUUACAAAAAUUAAAUAAAUAAUCCAAACCAUAAAAGUUUUCAUCUUAUUUAUAUAUUGUGUUAUUAUUAUUUAUAAUUACUAGAUUAACCUUCAAAUUUUAAAUUUUUUUUAUAAAUAUUUAAGAAUAAAUAAGUAAUUUAAUUAAACGAAUAAAUUGUAUUCGGUUCGUUUAUAACCCAUUUAUUAAAUGAAUACUAAACGAAUAAACGAAUCAAUGUCUUCAAACCUGAAUUCAAUUCGUUUAAUUAACGAAUCGAACUGAAUUCACCAAUUUAUAAACGAAUCAAAAUUUUCAAACCCAAACGCGUUUAAUUCGCUUCAAAUUGAAUCGAAUAAACGAAUCUUGGUCCAAAUUGCCGCCCCUAGUCGCUUGCAAGAGAACAUUGAAAGAAAAUAUGUUGAGUGGUGAGAAUAUGAUGAAUUGGAAACCGAAAAUAAAGGUUGAUUAGAUAAUUUCAUUUAAAAAAUUCGAUAUCUUUGAGGAUCAGUUUGUUGUGAAUUGGAUGAGAUUAAUAUUCAAGAUUAUGAAUGGAGAAGAUGAUACAAUUUAUCCUUUUAAACAUGCCAUUAGAAAAUUAGUUUUUUUUUUAAAAAUAAAUAAAGUGUAUUUUUUCAUUUUAUUUGGAAGUUUAAAUGAUUGUAGGGUUUUCCAUAUUUUUGCUUUGCUGCUUUUGUGUGAAUACCAUGUAACUCUAUGAGCAACAUUGUUUUAAGGUAGCAUGCUGUAUUUGAUGAGUAUAUCUUGCUAGCUAGUGGUUAUCAGUUCUUUCUGUUAUCUGUUGUUAAGCUUUCACACUAUUUUGUCGGUUGUACAUUCUCAUUUGCAUUUUUGUUUCUUUCUGUGAGUAGUGCACUACAUCUGAUGUGCUAAUGGUCUUUCAACUUGCUUUUGAUUCAAUAAUGGAAGCUUUGGCAUUUAAAUUUCCAUAGUUUCCAUUAGAUUCAGGGGAGCCAUGUCAGAGUUUUGUAAGAGGAGAAAUCUUUAGAUGGCUUUGUGUCAAAAUUUACUUUUAAGGAAUUCUCAUGUUCAUUUAUUCCCAACAUUUUAUGUCCUUCGUCCGUUUGUGUUCAGAGAAAACGUUGAAGGCCUUAAAGGAGAAGGCAAAAGAGCCAGAGGCACCAGAGCCGGAGCCAGAACCUACCACUGAAGUUCUAUUUCUAUGCAGCUAUGAAGGCUGUGGGAAGACAUUUAUUGAUGCUGCCUCUUUGAGAAAGCAUGCUCACAGUCAUGGAGAGAGACAAUAUCAGUGUCACUGGAAAGGUAAGACAUGACGUAUUUAAUGUAGUUUUUAAUAUUUCAUUCAUGAUUUCUUUAGACUGCUUAAAAUCAUGAGAUUCAUCAUACUUCUUGAGGUUUAAAAUAUGAUAAUAGUUUAAAAAAGAAAAGGAAACUAUUAUAUGUAUGCGUAGAGACAAGCUGUUGUGUCUGAUCUUGGACAUACUAUCCAACAUGGCCUCUCUAAAAAUUGUGGGAUGUUGGAUUAAACAAAGUGAGGAAUUUGGGUUUGUGGCCGAGGCCGGGAGUGUUUCUGAGUUGUAAAAAUUUGGGGAACUUCAUGUGUAUGAAAGCAAUUUGCAUCGAUGAUUUGAGUGGGGAAGCAAAGGUACUAUUGAGAAUCAGGUGCUAUCACCAAACAUUUUUUCUUUUGGUGGGUCUUUUUGUGCGGCUAGUUCAAACCCUCUGGUUAAAUAAGAUCUGUCAGUCUGGUUUGGGACUGAAGGUGGUCCAGCCUUGUUCAUGUACAGUCUUUUGUAAACAAUCCUCAAAUUGUUUUCUUGGUAUAUUUAUGUUAUGUUAAAGGCUAAGCCUCAUCACUUUUUUUAUUUCUCUUUUUCUUGAAUUUUUUUUUUAAUUGAUGUCGUUCUUUCAGGCAUAUAAAAAAUGGUUUUUGAAGUAAUUUUGUACUUUUUGAUGCAGAAAUUUUUGGAUAGUUCGAAGUUAAAAGACACUUUCUUAUUCAUACUGGAGAAAGAGAUUACGUAUGUCCUCAUGAAGGCUGUGGUAAGGUGAAGAAUCUAUCCAUCCUAAAGCAUUUUGUCAAAACUUUGCCGAGGCUACCUUAUCUUUUUCUUUUUUCUUAUUGCUGACAUUAUCAUAAGAUAUGAGAAAUAUUAUACAUUUGUUUUCUGCCUGAAACAUUUCUAUUUGAUGAUUGAUUCCAUUGUCUUAUGGUCCCUUGCCCACAAUUUUAAAAUUUUAGGUCAUUUGGUAAAUAAUAUUAAUACCUUGGAUGUUUAAUAAUAUUUUGAAAAGAGAAGUACAGUUUGUUGUACCCUGUGAUUGCUGAGGACAUCAUGGGUUUUAGUAAGCAAGAUUCUGUGAGACGCUUUGAUUGCCAUACAAUAUUAAGUGUCAUGUAUCCAAUCCAGGGGGACCCAAUGAUGUUGAAGUCUCAGGCUGGCACGUGGAGGAUCAUGGAGUUCAGUCUUGAGAAUUGCCACUAUGCAAAAGCCACUUAGGGGUAUUAGUGUAUUUGGAAUCCCCCUAUAACCUUGUUUUAUUUGGACCGACUCUCUGUGAAGACCUCUCCCAUUAUUAUUGAGAAUGAAUGUUCGGUACUUAAUAUCAGGGUUGGUUGUAUUGUAACUUGGAUGGAUCAAAUAUGAGAGACUCAUGUUUUUUCAUCAUCUUGUAAAGGGCAUAGUGCUAAUCUUACCUUGAGGUUGCCGUUUUGGCUUAAGAUGUUACUUUAUUGUACAUUUCUGUAUGUACACGCACUUGUACUUGUACCCAGCAUUUGUGGUGUUCCUAAUUACAAAUAUGAAAUAUGCAGGCGUUCUCUUUGGACUUCAACCUGAGAUCACACAUGAAAACACAUUCACAAGAAAAUUAUCACAUCUGCCCAUACCCAGAUUGUGGAAAGAGAUAUGCUCAUGAGUACAAGUUAAAGAAUCAUAUUGCAUCUCACCACGAAAAGGUUGGUGCUAUUUCCUUGCUGUUACUAUUUUGCAGUACCAACGCCUUUUUAGUAUUUUUCUUUGCUAUUUUAGAUAUUUUUCCUGCUUUUUUUGUUGCAUUUUAAGUUAAUUCCUUUCAUAGAACAUAUCUUAUAUAGUUUAUGACGUGUAAAGCAACAUGACUUCGGUUUCAUCUCAGAUUAUAUUAGUCAUCUGUCAAAAGGAAUUUUACUUAUUUCUUUUCUAAAGAUAUCCUUCAAGUCUGUUAACAAUGGCAACAUAUGAAUGUUUGUGUUCUAGUGGAAUUGUAUUCAUUUCACCUUUAGUAUGGUCAUAGUACAAAUGGUUAUUAUUAUCACUGAAAGAUGUAGUACAGAAACCAUCUGCUAUUUUUCUUAAAACUCUUAAGAUCAUCCCAUGUGUCGCUGGUUGACUUCACUGUAGAUCUAGAAUGGUUAUCAUAAUUAUGUUCUUUUUAUUUUUUUAAUUUUAUUUGAUAUACAUAGGACAUCAAAAUACCAUUCUGCCAACAUGAAUUUCAGAAAUUGAUUGCCAUGAAGCAAAGAUCGUCUGUAUAUAUUUUUUCUCUCAAAACUCGUAUAUCAUAUCUGAUUCUUAGUUUCGAGAUUUGAUUUCUCAGAAUGCUGCAGUGGAGGUGCCCAGAUACGCUACUCCUCCCGAGAGGAUAACAAAAACUCCCAAGCCACCUGCUGGGGUUUAUGGUUCUGCAUCAUCUGAACGUCCUUAUGCAUGUCCUUAUGAAGGGUGUGAAAAGGCAUAUAUCCAUGAAUACAAGCUUAAACUCCAUCUGAAGCGGGAGCAUCCUGGCCAUAUGUCUGAUGAAAAUGCCGAGAAUGCCACAACUAAUGCUAAUAAUGAGAUGGAUGAAGGCAGUGACCAAGAUGCCUAUGCUGGAAAACGUGUUAAUGGUAAAAGUCAAAAACAAAGCCGGGCGAAGCCAAACUUGAAGAUGCCUCCUGCAAAAGUAACGCAACGCAAAAGCUCAACUCCAUCUCCUGCCACCUUGAAUGUAGUGAGAAAGCAACAAUGGACUCCUAAAGAAGAAGUUUACGAGGAAGAAGAUAGUGAAGAAACUGAGGAAGAUCGUGACAAUGUUGAGGAUGGAUUUAGGUACGGGGAAAAUAAUGAAGAUGAUGAUGAGGAGACUGAGUACGAAGACUGAAGCAUAUAAAAAUGUUUCCUUCACCCUUCUGAUAAGGGCACCUUGUAUGUAUCUAACCCUUACAAACAGGUUCUCUGUCAUCUUUUAUCUGCUUGCUUUCAGCAUCUUUUUUUCUCUCAUUGCAGCAUAUAAAUAAAGUUAAAAAUUUUUAAUUUUAAAAUAUUGGUGAUUCGCUAAAGAAUUUCAUAUGACGAAUUUGUGAAUUUUUCAUCUUGGGAUAAACACAAAGCUGAUGCAAUCAACUCAUCAUGCCAAAAUUUAUGCACCUGAGCCGCAUAAGAGACUUGACUGGUAAGCUUGACAAAAUUUCAAUCGUUAUAUCAUCAGAACAUAAAUGAUUUGAAAGAGAGGGGAGACCACAACAUGAAUAAGUUAAUUAGUUAGUGUCAUAAAGAGGGAAUUGGAUUCAUUAAUUGUUGACUUUUGUGCUGGCUCUAACAAAGCUUUGAUCAUAAAUUGGCAAUCCAUUUGGAAAUAACAUCAAUCACCCACUUGUAAUUUCCCAGGCAUGUAGAGCGUAAACCAUUUUACCAGGCAAUGCAUGUAGAACUUAAAUCUAAGAUAUGCCAUGAAAAUUGGAAAAAUUAGGAUAAUUUAUCUUCUCUCUUUUUAAUAUUCCUUUAUUUGAAAAAAAAAAUUGGAUAGGGAUAGAAAUUUCACCCACUACACACUAAUCCUUGAUCCCAAAUCUACUUGUAUUAAUGUUUAUAAUUAAUUUCUUCUAUUUACUACUAGUUAAUAAGGCCACAUAGGUAAGUGCUAUAAGAUUUCGUGCAUUGGAACCCAUGGUUAUGGACCUGAAUCCAUUAGUAUGGAUCAUUUUCUUUUCCAAUUGAAAUCCAUUAGUAUAUGGAAGAGUGAAAAAGUACUUUCGUUGUUAUGGAAUAAGAAGUCUUCGUAGCUUAAUGCAUGUAUUUAAUGUAUUCGGGACUAUUAGAACUUAUUACUCAAACUUAAGUUAUUGUAAUUGCAAUAAAUAUUCAUGGCUGGUUGAGCUACACCCAAGAGGCUCUUUAUCCUCUCAUUAUAUUGUCAUUAGACUCUCUUUGUAAAUAAAAACAUCAUCCGGAUCGGUAAUUUAGAGAUCCCUAAUUUCUUAUGUAUGAAUUCAACAUAUAUAGAUUUUUAAAUAAAUGCGCCAUUCUUCCACAAUCCAUAAUGUCUAGGAAUACUGAAGAAAGGUCCAAUACUAAAUAGCGAUCCAUUUGACGAUCACAUAUUUCUUCAACUAUUUCUUCUGGAUGUGUACACUUGAUCAUUCGACAGCUUACCGUACUUUCUCAUCCCACGAGUCAUCAUUCGACAGCUUACCGUACUUUCUCAUCCCACGAGUCUUGUACCAAUAAUCAACUUAAAAGAACCACUCGGCUCAGCCUGAGUGGCCAGGGCUGCUGCCCUCCAACUUGGAGGACAGUAGUUCGAACCCCAACAAAAGCAUUGUGGGGGUAUUUCUUUCCUCAAUUAAUUGAGUGAAGGCAGUCUUCUCCCUUACCCAUGAGUGAGGAGUAGACAUCCCUUGAAUAUUUGUGAGGGUUAAAAUCUGGGCAGAGCUCCAUUAACAUUGAUGUAAGUUGGUCUUAGUAAUAGUCUGAUUUGUAAAUAUCAAUUAUAGUCUCAUGUAAUGAGUUGUAAUCUGAGCAAUAGUCUCAUGUAAUAAAAAAAAAUAAUCAACUUAAAAGUCAUUGUAUAAUAUGCAAAAUAAACCAUCAUAUUAGUCCACGAAAUUGUCAAAACGUCUUAUAAUUUGGCUUUCAAUAUCUUCAUAUGAUAAAUUAACUUGUAAGCGUUUCAUCCUGGAAUAAAUACGAAGCUGAUGCAAUAAUUUCCUUACCAAAUUCCACAGAAUCAACGAAUGCAUUAAUAAAAAGACGAGUUUCAGCAUUGUUGUUCUGGAGAUGUGAGAUUCGAAUCCCCGCAAAUGAGUAGCCUGGGAAUUGGAUUGCCGUUACCUAAAUUAACCCAAAAAAAAAGCUUAAUUUAUUCUUAUUUGAAUUCUUUUUCUAUCAAUUUAAAUCACAUAAGUAGAUAUUUUGACCGAGUGUUUUUCAAUUAAUAUGAUUUGGUUGGCUAUUCGAGUUCGAUUAUAGGAGAGGUAAGGAGCUAAAAUUUUAAUUUGAACUCAGCUACCCCUCUAUCUUUUUAAAAGUACAAAAAUAAAUUUAACAAUCGUUUAAAUUUACAUAAUUUAAUUAUCUUUUGUUUCUUUGCCGUAUCAGCUGCUUAAGCAAGCAUAAGUGCAGGUGGUCAACAGUGAACAGUAACACGGUUUGCACACGGCGAAUAGUAACACGGUUUGAACAGUAACGGUUUGAAUAGUAAUAGUUUGAACAAUAAUGUAGUUUAAACAGUAACACAAUUUAAACAGUGUUAUACGUUUGGUUAUAAAUAGAGAGGAGAGGUUAGAGCUUGAAUCAUCCCAAUUUUGAGAGAAAUUGCAAGUGAAGCAAUUUGAGAGUUUUGAGAAAGCUUUUACUUGAGUGUCAGGAGGAUUCAAUUAGGUGUAUUGAGAUUGUGGGUAUUGAGAGUUUUUUUCCACUUUCGUAAAAUUCCAUUAUUAGUCAAAUUAUCUUCCGGUCUUUGUCCGUGGAUAUAGGGAUUACGCCGAACCACAUAAAUUAUUGUGUCAUUUUCUUUGCAUUUGUUUACAUAACAUUUAUAUUUCUCUAGAAAUUAGAGUCUCCGUAAUAUUGGUAAUUGCUCAACCCUGCACUUCUGCAACAAGUCAAACAUUCAUAGAAAUAAAAUAUUAAAUUAAAAUGAGGGAAAAAAAAAUUACAGUGAUUUAUUCUUGUUAUUUCAUCAUCCAUCCAACCGUGGACAACUCAAGGACUCGGCAACAAAGCUGUUGUAUUACCUACGGUCUACCCAAGAAGAAAGCCCUCGUUUAGCGAAUGAGACUAUUUAAUCCACCAAAUUAAGUAGUCUUCAAACUUAAUUUCUCAAGAGGGGGAAAAAAAACCUAUUAGUCAAGCGGGGAUCAAGGAUCCUCAUCCCACCCUGAAUUAAUUAUGAUGGGAUACGUACGAGGACGCCGAUUCUGGACACCUCGCAUGUCUUUCACCUCUUCCUCGUAUUCUCCAUAAUUUACUUGAUUGAAAGUUUUAAAUUUCCAUUUCGAUUGGCUUUUCAGUCUCGUUAGGACAUAUUGUUCGAUCCAGCAAUGCUACGGAACCUACUCAAUAUUUUGAUCGCACCGAUACGUGGUUGAUCGUGAUCCGGCCUGUUCCCUCGCAUUGCAACAAAAUUAAACUUGUAGCGUCAGAAUCAACGCAUAGAAUGACCUCCAUUAGCAGAUAAUCAUUCAAGCAUUUAAGAAUUGGCCUAGUGCCGUCUCUGGCAUUUAAGAAUCAACGCAUACUUGAAUCGAUGAACAUGACACAAUAGUGAUAAAACAACUGUAAAAUAAUAAUAUGGUGUAAUAAUGUUAAGUAAGAAAUUAGGAAUUUUUUUUUCUUGAACAACACUAUAACGGAACAGGAUCUUCUUUUGAUUUGAGCAUUACUGAGCUUUUAAUAAUCUUUUGUCAUAUGUCUUUUAGUAGUAAUAUAUGGGUAACAUUUAACUUCUUUUACUUUUUUAUUUAUUAACAAACAAUCAAUAAUUGAUUUAUUUGCUCAGGACAUGAUCAGAUCAGGAGAGAAUCCUGAUCCCACUAUAACACCCUACAUUUUCACAAUCAUUUUGUCGCUGUUUUGUCACUGUUAGGACAAUUCUUCAUUUUUCCUGGCGUUUAUUGCUCAGUAUUUUCUUUACUGUGUGAUUGUUUCCAUCUGAAUUAUUCCUUUAUUUCGUAAUGCAGCCUAUAAGUUCAAAGCUUUAACCAGGGUGAUAUAUGCUUGGAAAUAUUCCUCGCGUGGUAGGUUAUGUUGGCCUCUACCAUGUUUUCUGCCACCUUAUGCCUCAAAAAAUAUGUAUUUGACCUUCAACAGAGAUUUUGCCAGACCACAUCCAUUUCGUUAACCAAAGAUAUAUUACUGCUUGGCUAGAAAAACAAAUUAAAUAGAGAAAACACAAUUAUAUAAUUAGAACUUAAUUAGAAGGAAGAAAUAAUUAACUAAUUAAUUGUAAUAUAUAUGAAAGAAGAUAAACUAGUAAGUGCUCGUGUCUAUGAUAAGGUGAGUACCUAAACACAUGAUAGAAUAAUUUUAUAACUCUUUGUAAAUUAUGGACUAAUAGGAUUAAGUGAACAGCAUCGCCUACUGAAUUAUUACACACUACAAAAAAUAUGUUUUAACUUUGGAUCCUAAAUUUGGUUAAAGUUCGAAAAAAAAAAUUAAACUGUUUGGUUUAAUAAUGUAAAGAUUAUUAAUGCUAUUAAUCUUUAAGAUCCGAACGACCCAACACAUUGCUACAGAGCCCAAAUAAUAUCUCCAGGGCAACUGGAUAGUGAACUCGGCCGAGCAAUGCACGAAACAAAAUUUCUAGCUUUACCAUCAACACAUAGUGUCACCUCCAUUAGGAGAGACGUGUUCAGGCAUUUAUAAAGUGGCGUAGUGCCGUAUCUGGUGUUUAUCGCUCGAGUAUAUUUCCGUGGAUUGAGUUUGUCUCCAUCUGGAUUUAUGCCUGCACCUCGAAAUGCGGCCUCCAAGUUCGCAGCUUUAACCAGUGUGAUAGCAGUUCGAAAAUAUUCCUCGGGCGGCAGGGUAGGUUGGCCUCUGCCAUGAUGCUUCCACUCCCUCUCCCAAAAUUGUUCAUUUUCAUUUUCAUCUCGGGUAAGACUUGGCCAGAACUUGUUCAUCUCGGCAGCAAAAGAUUUAUUGCUUUCUAGCUACAAAGAAAGAGUAAAAAUUAAUUAAUAAAUGACCGUAGAAUAAUGUAUUGGAAAAACUAUAUAUAUAGCCCAUGGGAGUGAAGCAGGUACCAUGUCUUGUAAAUUAAUAGUUUGAUUAUUGGUAUUUGUCGAGGACCUGCCGGAAGAAUUUACUGGCCAGAGGCCGUGUAGGACGAAUUUUGAUGGCUUUAUUCUGCAGGGCUCUGGCCUAUGAACCUGGCAGUACACAGGUGGCCACGUCUGGACUAGAAAAUAUUGAUGAAAAUCUUGUGCACCACCGGAGGCGAAUGCGAUGCAGGAAACAGAGAAAACAAAGAAGAUGAACGAGAAACUACUCUUCAUUUUGAUUAACAUUAAUUUGACAAUACUAAAAUGCAUAAGAGUAUAACUGACACAUAAAUAGAUAAUAUUAAGCAGUGGUAUGAUAAAAGGAAGAUGGGUGCAUGUACAAACUAAUUAAUGUCAUCAUAAAUAAUUUUAAUAAGGACCAUCCCCCCCUGCUUAAUUUGUUUUCUUUUUGUUUUGGGAUAAAUUGGUAAUUUUCACUUCAUUCCUUGACAGCUGUUGACCUAUUUUUUUUUUCCCUCCCUAAACAAACUAAUUCCAUUGUAAAAACUGAAUCCUAAAAAUCAUCUGAAACACACAACUCCAAUUAUCAUUCGGACCAUAGAAUUUUCUCUUAUUUUGAGCAUCUCUUCCCAUAAUUAACUUGUGGUUCCCCUCUAUCGCAUUCUUCUAUUAUAAAGCAUUUUAGAUGUUACAUUAUAGAAUCAAAAUUACUGAUUAUAUUUACAAUCAGGAAGAGAUAAUAAUGUUGACAACCAAUAUCAAUUCUUUUCCCGAAGAUAUAACGAUUGAAAUUCUGUCAAGAUUGCCAGCUAAAUUUGUUUUGCGAUUCAGGUGCGUUUGCAAGUCCUGGCUUGAGUUAACUAAGAAACCUUCUUUCAUUUCCAAGCAUUUCCAAAACAAUAGUACAAGAACUCGUCUUUUCGUUGAUGCAUCUGUUAGUUCUACGGUAUUUGGUAGGGGAAUCGUUACAUCAGCUUUGUACUUAUUCCAUGAUGAAAAACUUGCAAAUUUAUCAUAUGAAGACAUUAAACCCCAAAUUCAUGAUGUAUUUGUGGGCUAUCAUGAUGGUUUAUUUUGCAUAAUGCAGAGUUCAACGAAUCGUCUAACUAUAUGGAAUCCAGCAACAAGAGAAUUUAGAAACCUUCCAAAUUAUAAAUAUUGUAAUUCUUCCAACAGUGUAAUGUUAUAUAGUACUUUCAUCGGACUUGAAUCUGAUCCCAUAAAUAAUGACUUUAAAUUGCUUUUCGUACACAACUUAUGGAAUGAGAAAAGGAAAAGGUAUGGUAAGGUGCCAAAUGUUCAAGUGUACACAUUCAGAACAAAUAGUUGGAGAGAAUUAUAUGAUCAUCAAUUGGAUCGUUAUUUUGUAUUAGGCGAAGGUCAAUUUGGUAGGUUCACGUACUUGAAGAAAGUUUGUUAUUGGUUGGUAAUCUCGGAUACUCGAGACCUAAAAGUGAUUCUUUCAUUUCACAUGGAUAAUGAGGUGUUUGAAGAAAUAAAAAUACCUCCACAAGUAAAUUAUGACACGUCUAUAAGUUUAUAUAAAGACUCUCUCUCAAUUGUAAUCCCAGAUGCAGAGAAUUGUUUUGAGAUAUGGGUGAUGAAUGACAGUAAGUGUUGGGCAAAAAAUUUUACCCUUGGACCCUUCUUCAAUCUUAAUCUUCCAACAAAUCAUGGAUUCUGGAAGAAUGAUGCCUUUUUUUUAGAAUCAGACAUUAGGACUGAUAACGGUCGCCAUUUUUUACGUUGCCUUUUAUUAUAUGACCAUAGUGCGAAAGAAAUUAAGGAUCUCCAACUCACAGAACCAAGAGAUGUUUUCAUCUAUAAAGAGAGUCUGAUGACUAUACAAUGAGAGGAAAAAUAUUUUAUGAUAAAUUGACCUAUAUGUCAUAAUUUCAGAGUUUUUUUUUUUUUAAUUUUUUUGGUUCAUCAUGAUCAAGAGCAUAAUAGAAAGUAUACGUGGAUGAUUGGUGGUUGGUUCGCUUUACAAUACCUAGGCCUUUGGCAAACUAUAAAUUAGGAUCUUACUUAUUAAUUAUUAGAGUAAAUUUUUGGGGUAAUAUAUACGUAUUAUGUAAAAAUUUGUUGUUUAAUGUUGUCUUUCGUUUUUCUUCGAAUGAGAAAUAACAUGAGUGGUGCUAUAUAUUCUAAUUUUUUAUCCCAAAAAACUAUCUCAAAUGACGUGACAUUCAUCAAUUGUUUGGCCAGAAUAAUACAAUUAAUUCACUUGAAUUUUGCAAAGAAUUACCAACCCAACAAUGAAUAACAUAUUAUUUGAGAUGGAAUUUAGGAUGAAAAUUUUGAGAUGUUUAUCAUUAUUCUUAGUACUAGUCUUUUCAUAUAAAUUUUUUUUUCUUAAAACAAAUAAAAAAUACAAUAUGUUGUACAAAGGAAAAUCACCGGCAACAAGGUCCAAAUAUUCUUAAAAUCGCGAUAAUGCAAUCAAGGCUACAGUCUGAUCCUUAUAAUGAGAAUGCGUGGAGUCCUGUUUACCCUCAAAAUGAAUCACCUAAAGCCUCACGUCAGGUCUACAUCUACAAUAUCUUGGUUGUCACUCACGCUUCAUCAAAUGGAUCUUUUCAUUCAGAGACCUAACUUUCACAAUUUCUUAUUGUUAAUAACAUGUAUCAAGGCGUAUAGUUUAGUCUCUUUCCUUUUUAGUCAAAAUUAUUUUGCAUAUAUAUUUUUGAUAAUAUUUGUAAUGAAGACAAAUCACCCACGAUAAUAUUGUUUGUCAAUAUUAUGUCUUUCUGAUUGUAAAUAUCAGUUGAUGAUAAUUAUGUAAUAUAAUAUUUAAAAUGUUAAUAAAAGAGGAAUGCAAUAGAGGAGAGCCACAAAUUAAUUAUAGGACGAGAUGCUCAAAAUAAGAGAAUUUUACGUGGAGAAUGAUUAUUUGAGUUGUUUGUUUAAGAUGAUGUUUAGGAUUCAAUUUUUAUGAUGGAUUGGUUUAUUUAAAAGGUUAAAAAAAAAAGGUUAUAUGUUGUCAAGUGCUUGGUUCUUUAAGUACAGUAAACAAAAUAACUUACAUUUAUUCACGUUUUCACGAAAUCUCUAACUAAAAGACGGGCGCCAUAUCUACUUUGGUCUGGCUUUAUUGCUCCACCGGCCACCGGUGGUGGUGCAUCGCCACAGUCGGUGUCUUCCCACCUCUCUGGCCAGCCGCCUUCUCACCAACAGCCCCCAACACAGCCACCCUCACCUCCAACCACUCGCUCUAGAUCGCGCAAUACUACCCAAAACUCAAAGCGCACCGCUGCCGUUUUUCCUGCAGUCGGAGAUGCUGCCAAACAACCUCCAUUGCCACCUUUGACCAACCCCCAAGCAAUCUUGCUCUCACUGCCAUCGUAACAGCCCCCAACAUAGCCACAAAACCGUAGCCAUCCCUCGCAUGUUCAGACUCCAAAAAACACCACUUACACACCGUUGCCUCCACCGUUGCCUCACUCCGACCUAGCCCAGCCACUUCUAUUGUCCCAGCUGUUGUAAAUCAGCAAUUUUCCACUGUGGAUUCCAAUUAUGUUGUCAUUGGACCACUUUAUGGACACUAGAACCUUCAAGUCAUGACUACCAUAAACCCAAGCUGCUAUAUAUCUCACCAAGCACUCGCUGCCUCUCUCUUGGCCGCCGCAAGUGGCACCAUAAGCCUAUCGGCCACCACACAAUAGUCACCUUUGCCCUCCCACUCUCACCUACGACCUCUCUCGUCAUCAAACUUUCACAACACAGUGGUUGCUAUUCAAAAUUGUGAUCAGCUGCCACAUCCAACAAACCUUAGAUAUAACUCACAAAACCCUAGCCAACACCCAGUUUCCCAAAACUAGACACAAAACCCAACCUUCCAAGGAAUCCAAAAUCCAACCCUAACCCAUGACCCUUUUCCACCCCUCACUCUUUGGCUGUACUUCCAACCCACCCACUAAAGCCUCUUAUGAAUCUGUUACUAAUCCUGCAGCUAUCCUCAACCCCAAUCCAAUGCUGUUGUUGGAUGAUUUUUAUUGUUAUUGGUGUCAACGUGCAAAUGGACACAACAAGUAAUAUACUGAUGAAUAUUCAGAUUGUCUCCACAAAGAUUGAUGUUAUCAGAUUUGCUACAGUAAUCUUAACAGUGUAAAUUCAAACUAAAUUAAAAUAAGAUAAUUAAUGAAACUAUUGAACUAAAAAAAAUAAAAUUGCAGUAAAUAAAAUGCAAGAAGGAAAAUUUUCAAGCCAAACUCGAGGAUGUAAUCAGUGGGAAAUGAAUAGUUGAGUGAUUAAACUCACUUAAUGAUAUUGAUUGUUUUUCUAAUUAAGAUCUGGUUACUACAACAUCUAUUGCAGUACUGGGUAGAAUCCUUUAUGCAUCUUCGAUUGUCGCUUGUUGGAUAUCUUAUAUUUAAAUGCAAAUUAACAGUGACAAGUUGUUAUGCUAACAUUAGAUAUAACAUUAUGCGUUUUAGAUUCUACUUGCCCUACAAAGUGAAUUCCUAUGUUUAGUUCUUCAUUAAUUUUAGAUUAAGCAUGACCCUAUUCAAAUUAAAAUUAACUCAACUUGGGAAAUCCAAUCUAAAACCAAGUAUUAUCUUAAUUUGCUCUACUAAAUCAGACCUUUUUUAAUCUCCUUCUAAGAUAGUAUCCAUUAAAUGUGUGGUCAAUCGAAAUACAGAAUUGCAAUAAGUAAAAUUAAGAUAAAAUGCUAUAACAAAUACAGAGUAACACAAAUAUAUAAGUUAAUUAACUAUUAAGUUUGUUUGUCACUCAACCAAAAUAAAAUUUAGUUCAUGAUUUGUGAUAAAACAAUAAUAAAAAUAGUUUUAGCCAUUAAAUACAUUCCUAUAAAUAAAUGAAAACAAGAAAAUAAGAAGAUAAAUUAUGUUCUGCUUAGUCUUAGUGAUUUAUCCUCUGUUCUCCUUGAAUCUUUUGUUUUAGCCUUGAAAUCUCUCUUAUCCUCGCGUGUUUAAACUCCAAACAACCCCACCGUUGCUUCAUCUUUUUUGGCCACUGCUAACACCACCCAUAUACCGUUGCCACCACAUUUGCCUCACCCCGUCCCAGCCGCCACUAAACAGUAAUUUUCCACUGUUAGAUUCCCCUUAUGUCGUCAUUGGACCACUUCAUAGACACCAGAAUCUUCAAGCCAUGACUAACGUAAACCUUACCUGCUAUAUAUCUUACCAACCACUCGCUGCCUCUCUCUUGGCUGCUGCUAGUGGCACCAUAAGCCUGCCGGCCCCCACACAGUAGUCACAAUUGCUCUUCCACACUCACCCACGACUUCCCUCCUCAUCAAACUUUAACACAACAAUAGUUGUUAUUCAAAACUGUGAUCAGCCGCCGUAUCCAGCAAACCCUAGCUAUAAAUGACAAAACCCUAGCCAACACCCAGUUUCCCAAACCUAAAAUUAAACACAAAACCCAACCUUCCAGGGAAUCCAAAAUCCAGCCCUAACCCAUUACCCAUUUCCACCCCUCACUUUGGCCUUAUUUCCAACCCACUCAUAAUAGACAUGUAUUGAUUAAGCUUCAGCUUGAAGAUGAUUACUCUCAUAUUUGGGUUAGGCUGACCUAAUAUGUUAGUCGCAGGUCCAUACUCACUUUUAAGUGGUCUACAUCUUUUAAGUGCUCUGAGAAAUAUCUUGUUGUUCCUAUUUGGGAGUCUUUACCUUCUUUACCUAUGUGUUUCACUCAUUGCAAAAAUGCUUUAGAAGCCCAGCAGUGUAUUGGUUAGGUGUUGGAUACAAUUGCUCGUGAUAAAGGUAAAAUGCCUAUUCGUGAUGUUGUUGUGUAGCUUAUAAUGGAUUGUGCUACAUAUGUGGUUGCUAUGGACAAUCUACCACAGGGGCCUACUCUAGCCCAGGGUCAGUCUUUGGGCCUAGUUUCACAUCUCAUUUCCGAUAAAGGUACUUGUUUGGAUGCUCAACCACUUAUUCUAUUGCACAUGGUAUUGUCAAUGUUGUGUCUGAUUCGAUUUCUACUCUACAAACUCAAGAUGAUAAUGGUUUGCGGGAUAAUACUUUUCAGAGAGAUGUUGUUGGUUGUGCUGAGGUCACUAAUCCUCCUGUUUUAAAUAAUCCUAGUGUUCAGAGGGCUUCCAUCAGUUUUACUUUUUUGUCAAACUGCAGUGGUUGAUAUCCGCUCCAUGGUUGUGGGUUUUACUUCCCAUUCUACAUAUAUCGCUUUUCAGUCAGUGAGGAGUUUGGUUCUGAUGAGAAUUUUGUGGCUGAUGAGUAUUUUGCGCCUAAGCCUAAAAGUACUAGGGGCAUGAUCUUAACGCUAACUUUAGUGUUGCUAGCCCAAGUGCGUCUGGUUCUAGGAAAUGUCUCAAAUUAAACACUAGUUGCAAGUAUCGUAAGCGGCUCUCUUAGCAUUCGUAUUAAUUAGUUAUUUGUAAUAUCUUAUUUGUUCUUUUAUCACUUUGUUAUUUUUCCAUUUGUUGGUCGUACUUCUCUUGCCUGGAGGUUUUGGUCUAUGUCCCCCUCCAUAUGUAAUCUUUUUUAAUUUAUUAAUCUACAAGUUAGGGGGUCCCGCCUAACCCCCCACCCUUGGGUGGUUUUUAAUUUUUUAAAAAAGGUGCUUGGUUCUUUAAAUGCUUGGGUGGUAUAAGUUAGUUCAAUGGUUAAAGAGAAUGGGUGUGUUUCAUGGUAGAGUAAGGAAGUUUUGUAAGCGGUUUAGUAAAUAUUAUUUUUUGAACAUGUAUUCAUAUUAUGUGUGUUUAAAGGAUGAACAAAUUUGGAAGUAGAACUGAAAGUAGGGAGUAAAUCAUACCUUAAAGGAGGCUUAUUAGAGAUCAAAGUAGAAGAUUUAUUAUCUGUAAUGGUUGCUAUAUUAAAGGAGUUAACACUUGAAGUUGCAGUAGCACAUGUUGUGUUAAAUAAAGAAGAAGUGUUUGACUUAAACACAUAUCGUGGAGAAAUAGAUGGGCUUACAAUUCUAGAUAGUUGACGAGUUAGAUUAUAAAUGUUAUCAGAAGAAAAAAAUGCAAAAUAAAGUAAAGCAUGCAACAUGAAGCAUGCAACAUGAAACAUGCACAAUAAAAUGGAGCAUGAACCAGGAAGCAUGCAUAGUAAAGUGGAGCAUGGAGCAAUUAGUAUGCAUAGCAAAGUAGAGCAUAGAGCAGGAAGCAUGCAAAGUAAAUUGGAGCAUGGAACAAAAAGCAUGCCAAGUAAAGUAGAGCAUGGAACAAGAAGCAAGCAAUAUGAAGUGAUUGCGAAUCUAGAAAGAAAAACAUAAAAGUUUCGAAAAGUCAAUUUGGGGAAGGAGAUAAAUAUAAAUUUUGAAAAAAAAAACAUUGACAAAGUAGUGAAAGCUUACUAGAAUAAAAAGACAUUAAUGACUUAAAUAUCCAAAAUUGUAUUAUAAAUAGAGGGGCCCUUAAAGCAUGGGGAGGACACAAGCGAAUUCACAGGCAAAUACCUAAAAAAAUAACUUAUUGUGAUUGUCUAUCUUGAGAUUUAUUAAUAAGAAUAAAUGAUGUAAGGUUUCAUUCAAAUUUUACCCUUGUAUUUUCAUGGGUAAUUUUUGGGAUGUUACAAAUAACGUCAACAAUAGGAUUUUAAAGAAGAGGAAACAAACGACCAUUUUGAAAGUGUAAGAUCAUUGACUUUGUCUCUUAAUUUAUAGGAUAAUAAGAUGGAAAGCGGUCUUAUACAAAUUUCACAUGCUGAGUAUGAAAGAUUUGGUUAUUUGUAAUCAAAGUAGAUAUAUAAAUUGUAAUAAUGAUAGAAUUUCAACUUAAGUAUCAAUGCUAAUAAUCUCACUCAUCCAUUGGAUAAUACAUUUCAUAACUUACAAAAUUACUGAACCACCAUUCAAUGGAUGAAUGCCUCAUUAAUCGGAAAUUGGGGCUCAAAUUAGGACUUAAAUGUUGGGAUGCCUAAUAUUGCUCUAUGUAUUGUGAACGUUGGAAUAUCCUAAAAACAUUGACUUAGGAGUGUUUAGAGACUUAUCAUGUUUGGAGGUUAGCAAUGAAAAUGAAUGUGAACAUUUGGAAAGGAUAGUCAAAGUGGGAAGCAAAAGUCAAAAUUAACAGCCCAUUUGUUUGAAUUAACUGUACUGUUAUAGAAAUAGGUAAAUAAUGUAUAAUAUAUGGUUAAAAAGAUAAUUUUGCCUAGUUUUUAGGAAUUUUACGGAAUCCAAUUUGGACUUCUCUUCUUAAAGAAAUUCAAGAUUUAGUUAGGAACUGUCACAGUUGUCAAAAUUUUGCAUAAGGCCGCAAGUUCUGAAUUUACUGGCAUCAAUGCAUCAAGUUCUAUCCAACAAGCUUCAUAUCUCUGAAAGCUCUUUGACUUAAGAGUUUAAUAAAUUUUACAAUGUUUGAUUUGGAGUUUUCUAUAAAUGAGUAUUGACUGCUCACAUUUGUUGAUCAAACAGACUUAGUAGUCAAAUUGAGAUUUACUUUGCUCUUUUCCACCUCAUGGCAGCUAAGACUUUUAAUUCAAGUUUGAUUUGAAUUCUAGAUAAUAGAAAUAUUAUCCUAAGUUUGGAGGGA
rnacentral:lncRNA from 1 species